CCCCUCUCAGGGUCGACCCUGGAGAGUUUCCAGUCCUCUACCAGUCUCGGCUACAGGAGGGAGAGUCGAGCAGAGGCCUGUCCAUCCCAUUCCUAGCUUGGCCAGUGGCUAGCGAGCGGCAGACCAUCUGCUACAAGU